CUGGCAGAGAAGCUGGGACUCUCAGCAGGUUGCAGUUCAUGCUGUGAGGCCUGGACUGCCUCCACUUGCAGCCUUCUUCAGACCUGAUACAGUGCUCAGGAACUGAGCUGGCCAAAUUUCAUCACCACUUGGACCUACCACAUGGUGAGGAUGAGACUUCUGGUGGAUUCACAGUCACUGAUCUCAGCGGAACUUCCUAAAGCCACUUCGGCGGGAGACGUUCUUUGAAAUUCAAGCAUCCGGACAUCACCUUAAUAUGCAAGAUUCCUAAGAAGUACUUCCUUCCUUCCCAG